AGAUGUUUAACAUAUUUGAACAUAACUGAUUCAUAAAGGUAUUUUGGUGCUGAGCUUUCCUCCUGUGCCUGCUGGACAAGUCUGCACCCUGCAUCCUGCAGAGAAGCAGAAGCAUGCAUAUGCAGCCACAAGAUUUGCCACUCUCUUGAGGAUCAAGGCGGGAGCGUGACCGCGGAGCAGGAGAGGGCAAAGAUUAAAACACAUAUCAGCCCGGGCGCAGCGGCUCACGCCUGUAAUCCCAGAACUUUGGGAGGCCGAGGCGGGUGGAUCACCUGAGGUCAGGAGUUCAAGACCAGCUUAGCCAACAUGAUGAAACUCCAUCUCUACAAAAAUACAAAAAUUAGCCAGGUGCGGUGGCAGAUGCCUGUAAUCCCAGCUACUCGGGAGGCUGAGGCAGGAGAAUCGCUUGAACCUGGGAGGCAGAUGGUGCAGUGAGCUGAGAUCACGCCAUUGCACUCCAGCCUGGGCGACAAGAAUGAGACUCCGUCUCAAAAAAAAAAACAAAAAAAACCCCACACAUAUCAAAAGUUCCUGUAAUCAUUUACAUCAUGGUUCUAAUAAACUUGAAUUUUAUCUGUGCUUAUCCUACAGAAUAUUCUGACAUGCUAUUUCUGCAGCUAAGUUUUGCCUUUUAUUGUAGAAAAUAAAAUACAAUUUUUCGACCUGACUGGUUUCUGAAUGUAUGACUCUGGGAAAUGUCAAAUGUCUUUCUUUAGCUCCAGUCAAAUUAGUUUUUUUUUUUCCCCCCUAAGCUGCCUGGAACAUGUUAAAUACAAGGCUGUGACCUUCAACUCUGAAAUAAUAUUUCUAGUGUCUGUGCAAAAGCCUGCCCUCACAUACACCUUUAGACUAAUUACUGCAGUGUAAUG
rnacentral:lncRNA from 1 species